AGCGUAGGCGGCGCGGUAAGUCAGAUGUGAAAUCUCAGAGCUCAACUCUGAAACUGCAUCCGAUACUGCCGUGCUAGAGUAAUGGAGGGGUAACUGGAAUUCUCGGUGUAGCAGUGAAAUGCGUAGAUAUCGAGAGGAAGACCAACGGCGAAGGCAGGUUACUGGACAUUUACUGACGCUGAGGCUCAAGGGCUAGGUAGGCAAAG
rnacentral:rRNA from 1 species